AACGAACGUUAGCGGCGCGCCUAACACAUGCAAGUCGCACGAGAAAGGGCUUCGGCCCCGGUAAAGUGGCGCACGGGUGAGUAACACGUGGGUAAUCUGCCCUUGAGCGGGGGAUAACAUUCCGAAAGGAGUGCUAAUACCGCAUAAGACCACGGCUUCGAAAGGAGCAGCGGUCAAAGCUGGCCUCUGUACACAAGCUAGCACUCGAGGAUGAGCCCGCGGCGCAUCAGCUUGUUGGUGAGGUAAUGGCUCACCAAGGCUAAGACGCGUAGCUGGUCUGAGAGGAUGAUCAGCCACACUGGAACUGAGACACGGUCCAGACUCCUACGGGAGGCAGCAGUGGGGAAUCUUGCGCAAUGGGCGAAAGCCUGACGCAGCGACGCCGCGUGAGUGAUGAAGGCCUUCGGGUUGUAAAGCUCUGUGGGGAGAGACGAAUAAGUGCAGCCUAAUACGUUGCAUGAUGACGGUAUCUCCUUAGCAAGCACCGGCUAACUCUGUGCCAGCAGCCGCCGUAAAAC
rnacentral:rRNA from 1 species